CGUAGGUGGCAAGCGUUACUCGGAAUCACUAGGCGUAAAGCGCAGGUAGGAGGUUUAGUAAGUCUGUUGUGAAAGCUCCCGGCUUAACUGGGAGAGGUCAACGGAAACUGCUAGGCUAGAGUGCGGUAGAGGUAGCUGGAAUUCCCGGUGUAGCGGUGAAAUGCGUAGAUAUCGGGAGGAAUACCUAUGGCGAAAGCAGGCUACUGGACCGUCACUGACUCUGAUCUGCGAAAGCUAGGGGAGCAAACAGGAUUAGAUACCCUGGUAGUCCUAGCCCUAAACGAUGCUCAUUAGGUGUGGGAGGUAUCGACCCCUUCCGCGCCGUAGCUAACGCAUUAAAUGAGCCGCCUGGGGAGUACGGCCGCAAGGUUG
rnacentral:rRNA from 1 species